GGAUGAAUGAGGCACACAGAGAAAGAAGCAGACACGUUUUACUACUGCAUCUGUCCAGGCUUACUUCUAGAUGGCAAGGUCCUGAGUAGAGAGAUGCAUCAUCUCAGUCUGCAGAAAUUCCUGGAAGAAUGAACACUCAGAAGGAGGUUUAUACUGAUCAUACUACUUGAUGAGUUUUCUUACUCAACUAAAGGCUCCCAUGAAAGCACAUGAAGAUACCUUCACGUCUUCAGGUUUGAAAAUGGAUCAUUAGAUCUGAAGCACUCGUGUUGCUCCUGUGCAUUGACAAGCCUGAGGAUGGAAACCCACCACCUUGGAGAUGACAGAGCAGAGA